ACCCGGAUUCGAACCGGGGUUGUUCGGAUYAAACCGAAAGU
rnacentral:tRNA from 1 species